CCUACGGGAGGCAGCAGUGGGGAAUCUUCCGCAAUGGACGAAAGUCUGACGGAGCAACGCCGCGUGUAUGAUGAAGGUCUUCGGAUUGUAAAGUACUGUCUAUGGGGAAGAAUGAUUGGUUUGAAAAUAUUGAGCUGAUAUGACGGUACCCAAGGAGGAAGCCCCGGCUAACUACGUGCCAGCAGCCGCGGUAAUACGUAGGGGGCAAGCGUUGUCCGGAAUUAUUGGGCGUAAAGGGCGCGUAGGCGGGUAUUUAAGUCUGGUGUGAAAGAUCAGGGCUCAACCCUGAGAGUGCAUCGGAAACUGGGUAUCUUGAGGACAGGAGAGGAAAGUGGAAUUCCACGUGUAGCGGUGAAAUGCGUAGAUAUGUGGAGGAACACCAGUGGCGAAGGCGACUUUCUGGACUGUAACUGACGCUGAGGCGCGAAAGCGUGGGGAGCAAACAGGAUUAGAUACCCUGGUAGUCCACGCGGUAAACGAUGAGUGCUAGGUGUAGAGGGUAUCGACCCCUUCUGUGCCGCAGUUAACACAAUAAGCACUCCGCCUGGGGAGUACGGCCGCAAGGUUGAAACUCAAACCAAUCGCCGG
rnacentral:rRNA from 1 species